GGGGGGACACUUGAUGACCACAAGCGUCGCACCCCUUGGCUCCUCCCUCCCCUCCCUCCCACACACACACAUGCAGACGGGCCCAGCAACUCAGUGUCGCCCUGGGUAGGCCACCUGGGUGCCCAGGGGGCGCCGGGGCCAGGUCAGCCCUGCAGAGAGCUGGCUUCCCCCCGCUGCAGCUCCUCCUCCCGCUGCAGCUCCUCCUCCUGCUCUAGCUCCUCCCCCCACCCCAGCUUCUCCUCCUGCUCAGGCUCCUCCUUUGGACCCAGCUUCUCCCACUCCAGCUUCUCCUCCUCCCACCCCAGCUUCUCCUCCUCCCACCCCAGCUUCUCCUCCUCCCGCUCCAGCUCCUCCUCCUCCCACCCCAGCUUCUCCUGCUCAGGCUCCUCCUUCGGACCCAGCUUCUCCCACUCCAGCUUCUUCUCCUCCCGCUCCAGCUCCUCCUCCCGUUCCAGCUCCUCCUCCCACCCCAGCUUCUCCUCCUGCUCAGGCUCCUCCUUCGGACCCAGCUUCUCCCACUCCAGCUUCUUCUCCCGCUCCAGCUCCUCCUCCCACCCCAGCUUCUCCUCCUGCUCAGGCUCCUCCUUCGGACCCAGCUUCUCCCACUCCAGCUUCUUCUCCUCCCGCUCCAGCUCCUCCUCCCACCCCAGCUCCUCCUCCCGCUCCAGCUUCUCCUCCUGCUCAGGCUCCUCCUUCGGAUCCAGCUUCUCCUCCCACCCCAGCUUCUCCUCCUCCCACCCCAGCUCCUCCUCCCGCUCCAGCUCCUCCUCCUGCUCAGGCUCCUCCUUCGGACCCAGCUUCUCCCACUCCAGCUUCUCCUCCUCCCGCUCCAGCUUCUUCUCCCGUUCCAGCUUCUCCUCCCACCCCAGCUUCUCCUCCUCCUGCUCCAGCUCCUCCUCCCACUCCAGCUUCUCCCACUCCAGCUUCUCCUCCCGCUCCAGCUUCUCCGCCCUCCCCAGCUUCUCUUCUUGCUCCAGCCCCAGCUUCUCCUGCUCCAGCCUUGCCUCUCUUCUCUCACCCCUUGUGCCACUCCCUACCCCACCCCAAGCGAACAGCAGAAGGCUUCCAUUUCCACCCCCACCCCCCACCCCAUCCAACAGCCCCUUCGCAAGGAUGGGCAUUGACUUUGGUUUUCAAAUGCAGUUCGGUCUGGUCUGA
rnacentral:lncRNA from 1 species